rnacentral:rRNA from 1 species
UACGUAGGGGGCAAGCGUUGUCCGGAAUCAUUGGGCGUAAAGAGCGCGUAGGCGGUCCGGUAAGUCCGCUCUGAAAGUCCGGGGCUCAACCCCGGGAGGCGGGCGGAUACUGUCGGGCUAGAGUCCGGAAGAGGCGAGUGGAAUUCCUGGUGUAGCGGUGAAAUGCGCAGAUAUCAGGAGGAACACCGAUGGCGAAGGCAGCUCGCUGGGACGGUACUGACGCUGAGGCGCGAAGGCGUGGGGAGCAAACAGG